AAGAUCAUACUUCACAGGAUCAUUUCUGUAGUGUGUCUUCACAUUAUCUCUACUCAAUUGUAGAGUCAAUGUAACCACGAUGAGGAGAAGUAGUGUGGUUUUCUGAGCGUGAGGUAGAUUCGAUGUUUGACUCUAAGUGAAAUUCGAAUUAGCGAUGAUCGUUCAACCCAUUUGUCUACAGAUGGGUAUGGAAACUGCACAUGCUGAGUGGU